rnacentral:rRNA from 1 species
UACGUUCCCGGGUCUUGUACACACCGCCCGUCAUACCACGAAAGUCAGUAGCACCCGAAGUGUCGCCUUGAGCGACCCGAAGGUGAGAUUGAUGAUUGGGGUA